ACGUUUUUUUCAUAGAGAUUUAGAUUUAAGGUUAGAAGAAUUGUGGAAGUCGUGAGACUUCCCUUUUUUUCAUCUUAACGUUUACUAUCCUUCAUUAUUUGAAUGUUUUUAACUGGAUGAUGAUGCAGAAUAAGUAAACCUAAAAAGCCUUCUUCGUGAGAAGAAGCUUUUU
rnacentral:sRNA from 1 species